rnacentral:rRNA from 15 species
GCAAGGGGGAGGGGGCCAAGGCAGGCCAGGGCGCCCCGCAACCCCCGCGCCGC